UAUCUACAAGGGAAGAUUAAAGAACAUGAAAUGAAUAAGGGAAAUGAAUUCUCAUUGUUUUGAGAAAUGAAAAGACUAAAACCAGGCCCUUGUAACGUAUGGAUUAUAUAUAGGAGGAUAUGGGAUUGAAUGAGGACAUGAGAAGAAUUUUGAGGAGGAAAAACGUUUGGGUUCAAGCUAAUUUGAGAUUUUAUCGAAGGCGAAGCAAGUGAGAAGUCGUUAGUUUAAGCGUGCAUUGCUUCUUGUUUCAUUUCAAUGUAUUUUGAUGUUUUUAUUUGAGAGAAUAAAUAUGGGAGACUUAGGCACAUGAAAUACUAUUCUUGAAGUUUCUGUUGUACAUUUGAAAGGAUUUUAUGUUGAAUGGUGAUUGUCUUUGAAA